rnacentral:rRNA from 1 species
GACGAAGGGGGCUAGCGUUGUUCGGAAUUACUGGGCGUAAAGCGCGUGUAGGCGGUUGCCCAAGGCGGGUGGGAAAGCCUUGAGCUCAACUCAAGAAAUGCACUCGGUACUGGGUGACUAGAGGACCGGAGAGGAUAGUGGAAUUCCCAGUGUAGUGGUGAAAUACGUAGAGAUUGGGAAGAACACCAGUGGCGAAGGCGGCUAUCUGGACGGUUUCUGACGCUAAGACGCGAAAGCGUGGGGAGCAAACAGG